GCGCGGAUGGCGGAAUUUGGUAUACGCGCAAGACUAAGGAUCUUGUGCCGCAAGGCUUGGAGGUUCAAGUCCUCUUCCGCGCA
rnacentral:tRNA from 1 species